AACGUAGGACGCGAGCGUUAUCCGGAGUUACUGGGCGUAAAGCGCGGGCAGGCGGCUUUUCAAGUGGGAUGUGAAAGCGCCCGGCUAAACCGGGAGGCCAUUCCAAACUGAGAGGCUGGAGGGCAGUAGAGGUGGGUGGAAUUCCGGGUGGAGUGGUGAAAUGCGUAGAGAUCCGGAGGAACACCGGUGGUGUAGGCGGCUCACUGGACCGUAACUGACGCUGAGACACGAAAGCGUGGGUAGCAAACAGG
rnacentral:rRNA from 1 species